AUGAGCAUCAAAGCCAAAAUUGAAGCCUAAAGUGAUCACGCGAGUGAACUGCUCCAUCAAGCAGGCAAAGUUUUGCAAGUCGCCUCAAGCAAGCAAAGCCCUCGAAGCCCCGAAGACAAAGCUAAAACCUAAGUGAUGACGUGGGAUUGGCUGCUUCAUUGAGGUAGCUCACCCAGCCGAACGUCCUAGGAUAAAGUUUUGCAAGAAAUAUGGCGAAAUAGAAAGAUGAAGCAAAAUAAGGAAAGUUGUUUAUUAAAUUUCUAGCAAAUUGAUAAACUGGCUCGAAGGCCAACAAAGU
rnacentral:lncRNA from 1 species